rnacentral:rRNA from 1 species
AGCGAACGCUGGCGGCAGGCUUAACACAUGCAAGUCGAGCGGGCAUCCUUGUGGUGUCAGCGGCAGACGGGUGAGUAACGCGUGGGAACGUGCCCUUCGGUUCGGAAUAACUCAGGGAAACUUGAGCUAAUACUGGAUACGUUAGAGAGCAGAAAGGUUUAUCUGCCGAAGGAUCGGCCCGCGUCUGAUUAGCUAGUUGGUGAGGUUAUGGCUCACCAAGGCGACGAUCAGUAGCUGGUCUGAGAGGAUGAUCAGCCACACUGGGACUGAGACACGGCCCAGACUCCUACGGGAGGCAGCAGUGGGGAAUAUUGGACAAUGGGGGCAACCCUGAUCCAGCCAUGCCGCGUGAGUGAUGACGGCCUUAGGGUUGUAAAGCUCUUUUCUCCGGGACGAUAAUGACGGUACCGGAGGAAUAAGCCCCGGCUAACUUCGUG